GGCUACAGAGUGAAAGUCCAGUUGUCCUAAGUUCAUUAAAUUCCACACGACAGGCCUGAGGGGGGAAAUGAUCGAUUGUGGACCUCUGGUUUCACGUAUUGAUUGAUUGAUUGGUUGAACUCUCAGCGUAGAGGCUAAUCCUUGUUUUCUUUGCCAUUGGCUAUUGUUGUGUCCGUCAUUACGGGGGUCGAAGGGGGUUGCUGACCUCGCUGGAACACAUAUUGUCUCAAAAGUAAUAAGGAGGUUAUAAGCGGAUGGCGGCCAAGCAUCCUAAUGUAUAGGCAUGCCACAUUAUAUUGAUCCCAUGAAUGAAUAAUCAAUAGUAGACCUAUCACAUCCUUCUGUUUAGUCCAUUUAUCACCACAAGCAUAAAUAUAUAAUUAAUUACUAUUUGUUGUCAAUCUUUUUUUGAUAGUUUUUGUGCUGCAGUAGGCCUAAGACGUAUCACGGUCCUGCAGCUUCGAACGGUUUCGUUUGUUUGUUGGUUUUUAAAAAGUAGCCUAUCGUUACUGAGCUUUUACACUAGACUGAACAACAAUGCAAGCGAGAGCAAAGAGGGAGGACUUUGAGUUCGGUUUGGCUUUGGUUAAAAUGCCGUACUGCUCAGCCAAUAAGCAACCAGCCCGGAAAAAGAGAGCGUUAAGGCUGGCUGACGUGCGUAAAAGAAAUGUCAUCCAGCCAGGCACUCCCACCCAUCAGCAGCCCCUUCUAAUGCAUGGCCUGAGUGUGGAACAAUACAGGGCGGUCUACAACACAAUCGUGGAGCCCUCGGCCUCAAAGAAGCGGUCUUCAACACCAGAGAACAAGUCCACCGUACUGGGGAGAGACUUGAAGUACAAACUGUGGAUGGCGGUGGACCGGCCAAAACUGGAGGAGGUCACGGCUGAAGAUGGGCGCAUCGAGAUCAGAGUGGCGUUCGACCCUCUUCUCCAUCGCCCAGACAUGCAUACAGACUGACUCAACGAAAAAUAAUGAUGUUUGAGGUGCAAACAUGUAUUGUUUCUUUUUAAAUAAUCUAGUGUUGGCAAACCAAUCCAAACCCUCUCCGUCAAUUGCUUUUCACAGGAUAGCCUAUAAUCACCAAUAGAUUAAGCACAGCCUUACCCACUGGUCAGGCGUAUUUAUUUGUGUAGUUCUUCAACAGUGUUAAAGCCUAAAGCCAGAACAGACUGUCACAACAUAGCACUCUGCCUCUCUUUCAAGAAAGGAUUAAUAUGCUUUACUGCUUGA